AGCCACCCUGCCGCCAUUAACAGCACUAGGCAGGCAGUGCGCAGAGCUGAGAACUUGCCCCAGGUUACCCGCCUCCCAGCUGCUAAACAAAAGGGAGGCUUUUCAGCUGGUUCAAAUUGUUACAAAGUUCAGCUAGAGAUUUGCUUUUACCUGCGGCGUUUUCCCCAUACCACUGGCUGCCCUCCCGAAGAAUUCCUGUGAUGCCAGGCAGGAAUGGCCUGGUUGGAGACCAGCUAGCUCCCAGGGCCUUUCCCGCUGCUUCCUCUACCCCUGUAUUUCGCUGGGCUCUCUAAAUGGAUUCAGCUCCAGAGGAGGAAAACCUUGAGACCCUGAGACUUUCAGAAACUUAUUCACAGUUACCAAAGCUGAUUCAACAACUCCUUUGGUCAUUUCCUGUAGGACAGGUAUAGUGUUGAUGAAAUUCCUCAGAUUUUGUUUGUCUGGGAAAGUCUUUAUUUCUCCUUCAUGUUUGAAGAAUAUUUUCACCAGAUAUAUUCUUCUUGGGUGAAAAAUUCUUUUCCUUAAGCACUUUAAAUAUGUUAUGACAUUCUGUCCUGGCCUGUAAGGAUUCCACUAGAAUGUCUGCUGCCAGACAUAUUGGAGCUCCAUUGUAUAUUGUUAUUUUUCUUUUAUCAUGUUGCUGUUAGGAACCUUUCUUUACCCUUGACUUUUGGGAGUUUUAUUAUUAAAUGCCUUGAGAUAAACUUCUUUGGGUUAAAUCUGCUAGGUGUUCUGUAACCUUCUUACACUUGAAUGUUAAUAUUUUUCUCUAGCUUUGGGAAGUUCUCUGUUAUUAUCAUUUUGAAUAAACUUUCUGCCCUGUCUCUCUCUCUACCUUCUCGUUAAACCCUAUAAUACUUAGAUUCAUCCUUUAGAGGCUAUUUUCUAAAUCUCGUUGGCAUGCUUCAUUCUUUUUUAUUAUUUUUUCUUUUAUUUUCUCUGACUGUGUAUUUCCAGACAGCCUGUCUUGAAGCUCAUCAGUUUCUUCUGCUUGAUCAAUUCUGCUAUGAAGAGACUCUGAUGCAUUCUUCAGUAUGUCAAUUGCAUUUUUGAACUCCAAAAUUUAUGCUUGAUUCUUUUACAUUAUUUUAAUUUCUUUGUCAAAUUAAUCUGAUAGGAUUCUGAAUUCCUUCUUUGUGUUAUCUUGAAUUUCUUUGACUUUUCUCAAAAUAGCUGUUUUGUAUUAUCUAUCUGAAAGGUCACACAUUUCUGUCCCUCCAGGAUUGGUACCUAAUGACCUAAUGCCUUAUUUUGUUCAUUUGAUGAGAUCACAUUUUCCUACGUGGCCUUGAUUCCUGUGGAUGUUCAUCCGUGUCUGGGAAUUGAAGAUUAGGUAUUUAUUGUAGUCUUCACAGUGUGAGCUUUUUAUACGCAUUCUUCCUAAGACAUCUUUCCAAGUCUUCAAAAGGACUCAGAUGUUCUAAGUUUUUGGUCAUUGCUGCCCUAUCUGCAUUAGGGACCCCUCCAAGCCCAGUAGUGCUGUGAUUCUUGCAGACUUGUACAGGUACCACCUUGGUGGUCUUGGAAAAUAUUCAGAAGAAUUAUCUGGUUUACCAGGCAGAGACUAUUGCUUUUUUCUCCUUAUUUUCUCCCAAGCAAAUGGAGCUUCUCUCUUUCUUUGUUCUAAACUGCCUGGUGCUGGGAGAGAAGUGACACAAGCACCCCUGUGGCCACCACCACUGGGAUUUUGCUGGGUCAUCCAUGAAGUGAGCAUAGCAUUGAAUCUUGCCCAAGGCCCACUGUAAUCACUAUCUUGCUACAGCCUAUGUUUACUGAAGACCCUAGGGCUCUACAGUCAGCAAGUUGCAAAGCCAGACAGGCUUGUGAAUUGCCUGUAGAGCAGCAAUUUCCUGUGGGCUUCAGGUAAGUCCAGAGUUACUGUGUAGGAGCCAGAUCUGGAGGUGAAAACUUAGAAAUGUACUAGUGCCCUAUUUUACUGUGGCUGUGCUAACACAGAAACCACAAAACAAAGUCUUUGCCACUCUUCCCUCUCCAUUUUCCAUCAUGUCCACCACAACCAAGGUCCAUGCUGACUAGUGCCAGGAUAUGACCGAUUUCACUUAAUGCCCAAGGACUCUUUAGUCAGCUCAUGUUGAAUGCUUCCAGGCCUGAGACUCAGCCUUCAUAGCCAUAAAUUCCCUUCUGGCCCACAGUAGGUCCAGAAAUGCCUUCUAAGAGCCAAGGCCUGGAAUCAGAAACUCCAAGAGCCCACUUGGAUCUCUUCCCCACUGUAGCUGAGCUGGUACCUAAGCUGUAAGAUAAAGUCUCUUUCACUCUUCCCUCUGCUUUUCUGAAUCAGAACACAUCUCUCUCCUUUGUCACCACAGCUGUGAAUGUGCUAGGUCAUAACUGAAGCCUGCACAUCUUAGAAUCUCAACCAAGGCCUCUGGCAUGCACCACCUGGUUACUGCUGCUGAUUUUUCAGGGCCCAAAGACUCCUUAGUCAGCAGGUGAUGAAUCUUGCCAGGACUGGGUCCUUCCCUUCAAGACAGGGGAUUUUCUUCCUGCCCAGGGUGUAUCUAGAAAUGUCAUCUAGGAGCUAGGGCCUAAAACUGUGGCCUCACAACUCUGCCUCAUGCCUAUCCUACUGUGGCUGAGCUGGUAUACAACUUGUAAGUCAAAGUCCUCUUUCCUUUUCUCUCUCCUCUCCUCAAGUUGAAGAAAAACCCCUUUUAUGCAGCUCUUUCACCUCCUUGGUUACAUUUAUUCCUAACUUCGUAUAACUUUCGUAAUUAUUCUGAAUAGCAUUGUUGUCUUAGUUGUUUUAUUUCAGAUGUUAAUUGCUAAGUUUAUAGAAAUGCUAUUAAUUUUGUUUAUUGAUUUUUUAUUCUGCAUCUUUACUGAAUUCCCCUAUUAGUUUGAACAGUUUUGUAGGCAAACAUGAGGCUUUCUAAAUAUAAGUUUAUAUUAUUUGUAAACAGGGACAAUUUUACUUCUUUUCUAAUUUCAAUGCCUUUUAUUCCUUUAUUUUCCCUAAUUACUCUGGCUCAGAUUUGAAUACUAAAUUGAAUAGAAGUGAUGCAAAUAGGCAUCUUUGUCUUUCUCCUGGUUUUGGAGAAAAACUUUCAACUUCAGAGCGUUAAGUAUGGUGUCAGCUAUGAGCUUGUCAUAUAUUGUGUUGAGCUACAUUCUUUCUAUAUGUAAUUUGUUGAGAGUUUUCAUCAUGAAAGAAUGUUGGAUUUUGUAAAAAUACUCUUUCUGCAUAUAUAACAUGAUUAUAUGGUAUCAUAGUAAUAGUUAUACCAAUUUCUAAGAUUUUGAGAUGAGUUUGAGAAGGUUUGAUACUAUGAUUUGGGUAUAGUUUGUUCUCAUCAAAUCUCAUGUUAAAAUUUGAUUCCUAGUUUGAUGGUAUUGGGAGGUGGGACUUAGUGGAGAUUGUUUGGGUCAUGGAGGCAAAUUCCUCUUCAAUGGCCUGGUGCUGUUUUCACAGUAGUGUGUGACUUCUUGCUCUCGUGAGACUUGAUAGGUUCUUGGGAGAAUAAAUUGAUUCCUCUGAGAGAGUGAAUUGUUAUAAAGGCAGGAUGUCCCAUGGAUUUUCCCCCUCUUCACAAAUUCUUGCUUCCCCAUUUACCUUCUCCACUGCAUUUGGAUGCAGCACAAGAGCCCUUGCCAGAAGCAAGAAGAUCCCAGUGCCAUGCUUUUUUACAACCUCGAGAACAAAGAGCUAAAUAAACCUCUAUUCAUUAUAAAUUCCCCAGCCUUGGGUGUUUUGAUAUAACAAUACAAAAUGGACUAACAAAAUUGGUACUAAUUCUUCUUUAAAUAUUUGUAGAAUUCAGCCCUGAAGGUACCUGAUCCUGGCCUUUUCUUUGAUGAGAGACUUUGUAUUACUGAUUCAAUUUCCUUCCUCAUUAUUGGUAGAUUUUCUAUUUUUUAAAAAUUUUAAAUCUAGGGGGUACAUGUGCUUGUUUGUUACAUGGGCACUAGAUGAAUAAUGGUGGGGGUUUGGCUUCUAGUGUGCUCAUCACCCAAAUAUUGAAUAUUGUACCUAGUAGUUAAUUUUUCGACCCUCACCCCCUUCCAACUCUUCUCCCUUUGGGGUAUCCAGAGUCUAUUUUUUUCAUCUUUAUGUUCAUAUGUAUCCCUUGCUCUCACUUAUAAGUGAGAGCAUGUGAUAUUUGAUUUUCUUCUUCUGUCUUAGUUCACUUAGGAUAAUGGCCUCCACCUUCAACAAUGUUGCUGCAAAAAAUAUGAUUUUAUUCUUUUUGAUGGCUGUGUAGCAUUUCAUGGUGUACCAUAUUUUCUUUAUCCAAUAAACUGUUGGUUAACACUUAGAUUGUUUCCAUGGCUUUGCUAUUGUAUAUAGUGCUACAAUAAACAAACCAGUUCAGGGGUCUUCUUAAUAGAAUGAUUUUUUCCUCUCUAGGUGGACACACAGUAGUGGGAUUGAUGGGUCAAAAGAUAGCUCUGGUGCAGCAAACUGCCAUGGCCCAUGGUAUAUACCUAUGUAACAAACCUGCAUGUUCUACACAUGUAUCCCCCUCCUUUUUUUUUUAAAGAAGAAAUAAAUAAAUAAAAGAAAAAGAGAAAGAAAAUUCUAUUUUUAAUUCUCUAAGAUAUUUACAUAAUGUUUUCCAUCGAGGUUGAACUAAUUUAUAUUCACACCAACAGCGUAUGAACAUUCCUGUUUUUCUACAUGCAUGUCCAUUGUUUUUUGACUUUUGAAUAAAAGUCAUUCUGUCGGGUAUAUCAUGAUAUCUGUGUGGUUUUAACUUGAAUUUAUCUGAUAAUUAGUAAUGGUGAAAGAUUUUUAUGUGCUUCUUAUAUUUCUUCUUUGGAGAAAUAUCUGUUCCUUUCCUUUGUCCACUUUUUAAUGAGACUGUUUGUUCAUUUCUUGUUGAGUUGUUUGAGUUCUUUGCAGAUUCUGGAAAUGAUUUUUUCUCAGAGGCAUAAUAUGUAAAUUUUUUUAAUCUGUAGAUUGUCUGUUUAUUCUGUUCAUUGUUUCUUUUAAUGCACAGAAGCUUUUUACUUUUAUUAAAUCCCAUUUGUCUUUUUUUUUUUUUGGCAUUUGCUUUUGGAGUCUUCAUCAUUAAUUUUUUGCCUAGACUAAAGUCCAGAAGAGUUUUUCCUAGGUUUUCCUCUAGGAUUUUUCAUAGCUUCUUGUCUUACACUUCGGCCUUUAAUUCAUCUCGAGUUAAUUUUUGUAUAUCAUGAGAGACAGAGUUCCAGUUUCAGUUUUCUGCAUUAUGGCUAGCCAGUUUUCUCAGUACCAUUUAUUGAAUUGGAUAUCCAUUCCACAUUGUUUAUUUUUAUUGACUUUAUUGAAUAUCAGUUGGGUAUAGUAUAGGGCUUUAUUUCUGUGAUCUCUAUUCAGUUCUAUUGCUCUAUGUGUCUUUUUUUGUAUCAGUAUCAUUCAUGAAUUUUUUUUUACUAUAGCCGUGUAGUAUAAUUUGAUGUCAGGCAAUAUGAUGCCUCAGGAUUUGUUCUUUUUGCAUAAGAAUGCUUUGUCUACUUGGAAUCUUUAUGUUGCACAUGAACUUUAGAAUUUUUUUUAAUUCUGUAAAAAUAAUGUUUGUAGUUUAAUAGGAAUAACAUUAAAUGUGUAGACUGCUUUGGACACAGUGGGCAUUUUAACAAUAUUGAUUCUUCCAAUUAAUGAUCAUGAAAUGUAUUUCCAUUUAUUUCUGUCAUCUACAAUUUCUUUCAUCUGUAUUUUGUAAUUCUUGUAGUUAUCCUUCACCUCAUUGGUAAAAUGCAUUCCUAGGUGUUUUAUUUUUUUGUGGCUAUUGUAAAUAAAAUUGAAUCCUUAAUUUUAUUCUAGCUUGAAUGUUAUCAGUGUUUAGAAAUGCCGCUAAUUUUUCUACACUGAUUCAGAAUCAGAGACUUUAGUAAAGUCGAUAAUCAGGUCUAAGAAUCUUCUAGAGGAGUCUUUAAGGUUUUCUUGGUAUGUCAUCAGCAAACAGAGAUAAUUUGACUUUCAUAUUUUUCAGUUCGAAUGUCUUUUAUAUAUUUUUCUUGCCUGAGAGCUCUGGCUAGAACUUCUAGUACUAUGUUGAUUUGUAGUGGUGAGAGUGGACAUCCUUAUCUUUUCUUCCAGUUCUUAGAGAAAAUGGUGUCCACUUUUCCCCAUUCAGUAUGAUGUUGGCUGUGGGUUUGUCAUAUAUGUUUCCUAUUAUUUUAAGAUACGUUUUAACUAUGACUAUUUGUUGAGGGUUCUUAUCACAAAAGGGAUGUUGGAUAUUAUGUAAUGCUUUUUCUGCAUCUAUUGAGAUGACCAUAGGUUUUUGUUCUUAAUUCUGUUCGGGUGAUGGAUUAUACUCAUUGAUUUGUAUAUGCUGAACCAUCCUUGCAUCCCUGGAAUAAAGCCUACUUGAUUAUGGUCAAUUAUCUUUUGGAUGUGCUGUUUAAUUUGGUUUGCUUGUAUUUUGUUGAAUUUUUUUGCAUCUAUGUUCAUAAUGGAUAUUGAUCUGUAGUUUCCUUUUUUGUUGUGUUCUUGGCUAAUUUUGUAUCAGAGUGAUACUGGAUUCAUAGAAUGAGUUUAGAAGGGAUUCCUUCUCAAUAUUUUGGAAUAGUUUCAGUAGGAUAGGUAACAGCUUUUCUAUGCACAUCUGUGCAAAUUCCACUGUGAAUUCAUCUUAUACUGGGAUUUUUUGUUGGAAGAUUUUUAAAUUAAUGAUUUGAUUUUAUUAUUCAUUAUUGAUAUAUUUAAGGUUUCAUUUCCUCUAGGUUUUCUAGUUGGUCCUCAUAGAGAUAUUAAUAGUAUUCUCUGACAAUCUUUUCUAUUUCUCUGAUAUAACCUGUGAUGUCAUUUUUAUCAUUUCUGACUGUACUUAUUACAAUCGUCUCUCAUUUUUUCUUAGUCUAACUGUCAGUCUGGAAAUUUUGUUUAUCUUUUCAAAACAUCAACCUUUUAUUACACUGACAUUUUGUGUCAUUUUUUGGUCUCAAUCUCAUUUGGUUUUGCUCUGAUCUAUAUUUCCAUCUGCUAGAUUUGGGUUCAGUUUGCUUUUAUUUUUCUAGUUCCUUGAGCCAUGAUGUUAGCUUGUAAUUUGAGACCUAUCUUUUUGAUGUAGGCAUUUAAUGCUGUACAUUUUCUGCCUAGCACUGCUUUUGUUGUAUCCUAGAGGUUUUGGUAUCUUAGUCUCUAUUUUCAUUCAUUUCAAAUAAUCUUUUUAAUUUUUGUCUUGAUUUUGUUAUUUACCCAAAAGUCAUUCAGGAGUUAGUUGUUUCCAUGCAUGUAUAUAGUUUUAGGAGUUCCUCUUUGUAUUGAUUUCUAAUUUUAUUCCAUUGUGGUCCAAGAAGAUACAUGAUAUAAUAUUUUUUUGAAUUUAUUGAGACUUGCCAUAUGAACAGGCAUAUGGUUGAUUUUGGAGGAUAUCCCCUGUGCAAAUGAGAAAAAUUUAUAUUCUAUAGUUGUUAGGUAAAAUAUCCUGUAGAAGUUUAUUAAGUCUAUUUGGUCUAUAGUCCAUUUUAAUUCCAGAAUUCCUUUACUGAUUUUCUGCUUUGAUGAUCUGCCUAGUGAUAUCAGUGAAGUGUUGAAGUCCCCCACUAUUAUCAUAUGGCUAUCAAUCUGUUUUCUUAGGUUUAGUAACAUUUCUCUUGUGAAUCUGAGUGCCCCAGUAUUGGGUUCAUAUAUAUUUAGAAUAGUUAAAUUUUCUUGUUGUAUUGAAUUCUUUGUCAUUAUAUAAGGCCCCUGUUUGUCUUUAUUUGUACGAUUGUUAGUUUAAAGUCCAUUUUAUCUGAUAGGAGAAUGGCUAUUCCUGCUCACUUUUGUUUUCCAUUAUUUUUUUUUCACACUUUUACUUUGUAUCUGAAUGUGACUUUAGCCAGUAGGAGAGUGUCUUGUAGAGAGCAAGUGGUUAGGUCUUUUUAAUCCAAUAUGUCACAGUGUAUCGUUUAAGUGGAGUAUUUAAGCCAUUUACAUUGAAGGUUAAAAUUUAUCUGUGAGGUUUUAUUCCUAACAUAGUUUUGUUAUCUAUUUGUUUUGGAGUUUUGAUUGUGUCAUUCCUUAUAGGAUCUGUGAGCUUAGUACUUACGCGUCCUUUUCUGAUGGUAAGUAUAACCCUUUUGUUUCCAUGUUUGGAACUCUUUCAUUUCUUGUAGAACCAGUGUAGUACUGACAAAUUUUCUCAGUCACUGCUUGUCUGGGGAAGGCUUUAUUUCCUUUAAUUUAUGAAGCUUAAAUUGUCAGGAUAUAAAAUUCUUGGCUGGCUUUUUUUUUCCUUUAAGGAGGCUAAAAGUGCGUCCCCAAUAUCUUCUGACUUAUAAAAUUUUUGUUUAGAAGUCUGCUUUUAGUCUGAUUUGUUUUCCUUUGUAGGUAAUUUGACCCUUUUCUUUAGCUGCCUUAAGAUUUUUUUCUUUAGCAUUGACCUUGGGUAGUCUGGUGAGUAUAUGCCUUGGUGACGUUCAUCUUAUAGUAUCUCACAAGUAUUCCCUGGAUUUUUUAUAUCUGGAUGUCAACCUCUUUAACAAGAUUAGGAAAAUGUUCUUAAAUUAUUCCCUCAAAUAAGUUUUCCAGGUUUUUUUUUCAUCUUUCUCAGGAAUGCCAAUAAUUCAUAGGUUUGGUUAAUCCUUUGUUCCUUGAAGGUUUUGUUCAUUAAACAAUUUUUUUCUUUAUUUUUAUCUGACUGGAUUAGUUUGAAAAAACAACCUUCAAGUUCUAAAAUUCUUUCUUCUGUUUGGUUUAGUCUAUUGAUAAAGCUUUCAAUUUUAUUUUGAAAUUCCUUAAGUGAAUGUUUUAUUUCCCAAAGUUCUGAUUGAUUUUUCUAUGGGUAUUUAUUUCUUCCUUUAUUUCUUAAAUUGCUUUAGUGGUUUUUUAAUAUUGAUUUUCAAUCUUGUCUUUGAUCUCACUGAGCUUCCUUUUAAUCCAUAUUUUGAAUUAUUUGUCUGUCAUUUCUGAGUUUCCAUUUUUGUUGGGGUACAACACUAGAGAGCUGACAUGAUCCUUUGGUGUUGUCACAACAUUCAGAUUGUUCAUGGUGCCAGAAUUCUUAUGCUAGCUCCUUCUCAUCUUAAGAGGCUGCCACUUCUAAUUUUUCAAAGGAUGUUCAUGUGGGUAGGAUUUUUUUUCUUUUUUUCUUUAUUUUUUUCUUUCCCUUUCCUCCAUUUCCAGAGAGUGUGACUGUAGAGUAUGUUAGUUUGGAUCUUUUGGCUCUGCCUCGAUAUUCCUAUGCAAUUCUGUUGGCAGGUUUUAUUUUGGGCUAUGGGGUUCAACCUAUAGGCCAGCAGUUGAUGCUUAUGGGUAAGAGCCAGCUGUGACACAAGCAGAUGUUUAUAUACUUGGCACUAUGAGCUACUCAUAGUGCCAAGUUUACCAUGAGGUCUUUGUUUUCUACUAUUUACUAUGAGUUGCUCUCUGUUUACUAUGUUUACUAUGAGGUACUCUCUGUUGUUUUAGGUGAUGGACUGGACAAUGGAGUGUCUAGUGCCCUGAGCUACCUGUUUCAUGGAUGUGGGGGUACACUUCUGAGUGGAGCUGGGUCCCCUUGCUUGCCCAUGAAAACCCAAAUGGUGACUGUAGGUGCCAACCCUGACAAGGGUGGCUGUGCGGAGCUCCUGGUGAAAUUUACUGAGGUGUGUGUAAGGUUCGAGGGGGCUGCACUGGCUUCACGUCUUAGGCAGAAAUGUGAUGUCUUCCCUCUCAAACUCCUGUCCUAGCACUCAUAACUGCCUGCUUAGAUGCACACUGUAGUUUAUUUCCAGACAUCAAUGUGGCUGAGAGCCAUGGGAAAUGCCUAUCUUGUGACUCUUUGUGGGAGUGGUUUUGAAGAAGAACCUCCUCAUUCGGCCCAGUAAAGAUAGCCUUAUGGCUUCCCUAUUCUCCGAUAUGGUAAGGCUGCUGCUUUGUGUGUGUGUAUGGGCUUUACCUUUGGGCCUGUGGGUCUCACCACUUCCCUUGUAAGUCCCAGAAUUAUCUCUAUCUAUUCCAAUAUUCCAUUAGAUCCAAGUAACUAAACAAAGCUACUUUCUUCAGUGCCCUAGUAAAAUGUUCCAAAUGCCUCAUGACCUAAAUUAGGUCUCAUGAUCAGCUCUGAACUGAUUUCUGUGGGUAGGAAAAUGGGAGUUCUUAAUGGAGUAUAUGGUGAGUCAACACCGCAGAAACCUUCAAGUAAAAAGGGGGGUUGGAGAUGUUAUUUCACAAGUUAAAAUCCGGGUGCCUCAGUAAAAAUUCUGAAGCAUGCAUCUUGGAUCAGGGAACAACAAAUACCAACUUUAGGGUGAAUACCCUUAAUAGUAUAAUGCAUUCCCUAUAGAGUCGUUUUUCUCCGCAUAACAGGCUUACUCAGCAUGUGUGACUCUACUUCAUCUCUGUGUUCUUCAUUAGUUUAAAGGUUUUCUUAAUGCCUUUUUGUCCUUGGCUUCUCCUGUGUCAACAUUUUCAGUUCUAACAAGUUUUUUGUUUUCACACUUUGAUAUUGUUCAUAGGAUGUUUAGAUUCUGUUCUGUAACAGAAAGGCAUAAAUGAAGAAGCAGUACAUAAAUUUUGCCUGCCAAUAUCUGUCUUACAAAGACAGUCAGUAUUGUAGUAUUUGUUAUUCUCUUGCUCUAUUGACAAAUGAAAGUAAGUGAAUAUAGUUUGAAGAAAUCCGUUCAACUGUGCAAUUAUCAGGGUCAAGCUAAAGGAUGUAGGCUGGUUGCUUCAUCUGAUUACAUAUUCAUUUAUCCUCAUGGGAAAAGACAAAGAAUCAAUGAUGUCGACAAUUUCUGGAGUGCCCAGCCAACCUGAUAUGAAAGAUCUCUCUGAUGAAGGAAUCAGACCAAUUUCAGAGUCCCAGAGAAAGUCUAUACUUUUCUCUGGAAAUACGACACAACUUUGGGAAUAUAUUUAAAGUAGGAAUGUAUCCACAUUAUAAAACAUAUAUGAAGCUCUGGAUUUUAAUCUCCUAGCUGUAGGUGUCAGUUUGAACAAGAGCAAAGAGACAGUCCCUAUCUUCAAAUAUAAGAAGUUGUUAAGAGAAAAAAUGCAUAACUACAAAAAUAACCAUAAUAAAUCUAUCUAAGACUGCUGAAUAGCAAUUUUUAGAAUUUUAUUUAGGAAACUUCGAGUUUUUUUUUUAUGAUUAACCUGAAGUCUUAAACUUCAAUUGAUUAUUUUACUUGGUUAUGCAAUGUACAAUGUUAAAGGCAUUAAAAUGGAGUUUUUCUUUUUCUUUUCUUUUUUUCUUUUUUUUUUUUUUUUUUGCUCCUCUCACAAAGUAGGCAUUUAAUAAACAUUAGGGAAAAGAAGGUACAAAAAAUAAAAGCGUAUGUCUUGAUACUGCACAUUUUGUUGUAUUGAGAAUAAAAAUUAAAAUGUUAUGAAGAUACAGAUUUUAAUCCUCAGGUUACAGUUUAUAAAAUUCAGAUGGUAGAUAUAAACCUUCUACAUUUUAAAAACAAUAUUGCCAGUGUGGUCAGGCAAUCAGGAAACUUUCCAGAGAAGAAAGCAUAAAAGACCAAUACAUACAGUCAGAUGUUCUGAGUUCAAAUAAAAGAAAGUCCCAAAACAAUUUCCAUUAAAUAGUAUAUAUAUUAAUCAUUGCAUAGAAGAUAUUUAGAGACAGAAACAACAAAUUUAGAAAGUUCAGCCACCCAAUGAUGUCAACAGAAACCUACUUUUCAUCUUUCUUCUCUGUCAUCGUGAGUGCCUUUAAUUUGUCUUACCCUUAGAUGAGGUUCAUGCCUGGUGGACAGUAGGGACAUGUUAAUGCAGUCAUAGCAGAAAAAUUCACUCUCCAUUAAAAGCAACUUUUCCCAAAUGACAAAGCCGAUAAAGUUAGUUAGCAUAAAGCCACAAGUGAAAUUAACAGCACAGUUGCCCAUAUUAUCAAAAACCCUUGAGAAAGCUCCCAUUGUGCCCUACACAGUCAUGUAAGCAAACGUAAGACUAAAGUAUUUCAAUGAGAUUCUAUCCUGAAUACACUGAUUCCUUGUGCACUUGUAGGGAUUUCUACAAGAUUGAGAUUUUUCCUCACUAGAUGUGAAUAGUUUGCCUUUUCAUCUAGUGUGAUGUGAGUGGCCACUGCUAUAGUCAUUCUGAGAGUCUUAUGUGCUCAGUUCUAUUUAUACAUUUUGUAUUUCUUAAUUAUUCAAGCUAAUUUUGUCUGUAUUUUAUUUAGGAGUAAUUUUUAAUGUUAAAUUUGUGAGCAAAAUUGUCUAUAUUGCUGAAAAAUAUUUUUAGUCAUUUUAUAUUUUUUUAUUUUAUUGAAAACUUGAAAGACUAAGCCAGUAGGUGGGAAAAAAACACAUUCCAGUAUUUUUAUUCUUUACUUUACAAAUGGCAAUGUCAGGCCAUAUAUUUUCAUGCAUAUACACAACAUAGUACUAAAAAAAAUUUUGCAUCAAUAUGAAUAUUUUGAUCUGCUGUAUUUUCUUAAAUUAUCUUAUAGAAAAAAUGAACUGAUCACAGCACUGUAGGAUAUAUAAUUAUUGCUAUUAAUACAAUUAAUUAAGAUUAAAAAUAACAAAUUACUUUUAAUGAGUUUCCUAGACAUAAAUUUAUUUCAGUCUACAAACUCAUUAAUAUGUUUGUAGUAUAUCCAAAUUAAAUUAGCACUCUGAUGUUGACAGAAGUGCUCUUUCUUUGCAAAGUAACAAACAUAGCACAUAAAACCAUUUUCUAAGCAGCAAGUUUGAUAUCACUUUCAAAUAAAUUAAUAAUAGUCUGACAAAUUUUCUACUUCCUUUUAUUUUUAUUUUCAUCUUUUCAAAUGGGUAAACUCAGGCAUCUCUAUAUGCAGAUGUAGAGUAGAACCAUUAAAAAACACUUUGAAAUAACCAGUUACAUAGAAAAAAUUUCAUGAAUUUCUUAUACAAACAAAUUGCAAAUAUUGCUGUAUUAUUGUAGAUAUAAAAAUAUAAAUUGUAAACUCUAGGGUCAAGGUGCUUAGAUUGAAAUUCUGGAUCAAGCACUUUCUGAUAUAGACAAGUAACUUAAAACCUUUAUACCUUAUUUUUUUUAUAUUUAAAGUAAGCACAAUUUUACCAUCUUCCAAAUGAGUUAUUAUGGCAAAUGAAUGUUUUAAUGUAGGUUAAAAACUCAUUAGGUUCAUAUCAUUCAAAUUACUAAAUAAGGGAAUAAUUUCUGUACCUUCAACCUACUUGUUUUACAUAUAUAAAUAUUAUGCAAUAUAUGCAUAUCUGUACAUAUUAUUAUAUUUGUUAAUUAUAUAAUAUACAUUAAUAACAGAUAUGCUAUCCAUCCAUCUAUCUAUCCAUUCACACACACAUAUACAAUGUAUGCACAAAGUAGAAAGUAGGACCUUCCACAAGAUAAUAAUUAUUACUACAUUUUGCUGGUAAUUUUUAUUAGUGUUUUAAAGUGUUUUUUUCUUUAAAAUUUAUAUUAAUUGUUGCACUUACUCAUGCCUACCUUUCUCAGCCUCUUUAUGCCUUUAGGUACAUCUUAUCAUUCUCAGACUCUUCUGCUAUUGGCUUUACACUGCAGCGUAUUAGGUCUUAAUGCCAACUUUUUAACACUUUUUAAAUUUAAAAAGGCAUACCUUCUGAGAAGCACCAUGCAAAUGCAGCAAAUGCAGAGCACAGAAAUGGUCUACUUUUGGUUAAAACUUGAAGAGACAAUUCUACAACAACUAAUCAAAGUAACUCUGUUGAAAUGCUGAGAACUUGGAGGUAAGCAUUGAUAACCUAAUCAGAUGGUUUUGUGAUCUGUAAUAGUGUUCAAUUUUAAUGACAUACCUAACCAGAAAUUAAAAUGUUAUGUAUAAUCACCACUGGACAUUUUAUUUUGAGAUGCAUGAGGUUACUGUUGAUUUCAUGAUAUUUGUUUUAUUUUCCUUUUUUAGCUUGUAAAGGGUCCCAGAACUUUAUUCCUUCUAAUUAUCAUCUGCUUUUAGUAGCUACUUAGUGUUGAGAACUAUGUUAGCUUAUCAUAUUUUUUAUUAGUCAAGCAAAAGACAUGAGACUCCUCGGUCAAGGACAAAAUCCUUUAUUACUCAUGGCACAGAAGCCAGCAUGAGCUGCACACACACAUGUGUUCUCCUUGUCCCCAAUUAUUAUCAAAGUGAUGUGCAAGAGGGCAUAUUGAAUGCUGUACACUCAGUGGUUUGUGUCACAGCUGAAGAAACUUAACAUUUAAAGGAGGAUGCUAGCAAACAUCCUCCAUUUUGCCCUGGAGGAGGGAGAUAUUUUCAUUAAUGUUCUAGACAGCAAUGGUAACCACAACCACAACAAUGCUGACCUGUUCCCCAGAGGAACACACUAUGUGUAUUUUCUAAGGUAGUUUGCCAUUAAAAUUCCUGAAAAGAUAGAAAAAAAGUUGUCAGUACCUCUGCCGAGAUGAUUUAAAGAAAUAUAAUAAACCCAUGGAGAAUUAUGUCCUAAUUUUUAGGUUUCUUAUAUUCAUUAUUAUAUCAAGGAAUGUUAAUGGUCAGUGUAAAUGGGAUAAAAUCUUGUAUAGACUUUGGGAACAUAUGCUCUGAAUAUAGAAUAUAAUUAAUAGAACAUUUAUCUCAUAUAAUGUAUUUACAGAAACCCCCUGUGGAUUAAAGAUUUAAUAUGAACUGUAAAGUCUAAAUCUUUUACAAACAUAAAUAAGAAUAUCUUUUGAUUCUAAGUUGUGAUGUAUUUACAAACAACACACUAAAAUCAGUUAAAGGACUGAUAAAUGUAACUGAAUUUAUAAAAUAGCAUGUAUAUGUGUAAAAAUCUUUCGAAAAUCAGUUAUAAACUUUUCACAAUAUUGAUUCUACCCAUUCAUGAGCAUGGGAUGUGUUUCCAUUUGUUCUUGUUGUCUGUUAUUCCUUUCAGCAGUGUUUUGUAGUUUUCCUUGUAGAGGUCUUUCAAAUCCUUGGUUAGAUAUAUUCCUAAGUUUUUUUUUUUUUUUUUUUUUUUUUUUUACAGCUAUUGUAAAAGGAGUUGAGUUCUUGAUUUGAUUCUCUGCUUGGUCUGUGUUGAUUGUGUAGAAGAGCUAUUGAUUUCUGUACAUUAAUCUUGUAUCUGGAAGCUUUACUGAAUCCUUUUAUCAGUUCUAGGAGCUUUCUGGAGGAGUCCUUAGGGUUUUCAAGGUAAACAAUCUUAUCACCAGCAAAUAGUAACAGUUUGACUUCCUCUUUACCGAUUUGGAUGCCCUUUAUUUCUUUCUUUUGUCUGAUUGCUCUGGCUAAGACUUCCAGCACUAUGUGGAAGAGGAGUGGUGAGAGUGGGCAUCCUUGUCUUGUUCCAGUUCUCAGAGGGAAUACUUUAAACUUUUUUUCAUUCAGUAUUAGUUGGCUCUGGGUUUGUUAUAGAUGGCUUUUAUUACAUUAAGUUAUGUCCCUUGUAUGCCGAUUUUCUUCCAGCUAUUUUGAAACACACAAUAAAACACUGUUAACCAUAGUCACUCUGGUAUGCAAUAGAACACCAGAACUUAUUCAUUUUAUCUAAUUGUCACUUUUUACCUAUUGGCCAAUCUGUUCCUUCUAACCUUCCAGCUUCUGGUAGCCACUAUUUUACUCUCGACUUCUAUGAGGUCAAUGUUUUUAGAUUCCACAUAUGAGUGAGAUCAUGUGGUAUUUAUCUUUCUGUGCCUGGCUUAUUUCAUGUGAUAUAAUGUCAUCCAGGUUCAUCUAUGUUGCUGCAAAUGAGAGGAUUUCAUUAUUUUAUGAUUGGAUAGCAUUAUGAUCCCAGUAGUGGGACUGCUGGAUCAUAGGUAGUUUUAGUUUUAAUUGUUGAGGAAGCAUUAUACUGUUUUCCAUAAUGGCUGUACUAAUUUAUAUUACAUUCCCACUGACACAGUGUAUGAGUUAUCUGUUUUUCAUCAUCACCACAUUUGAUAUCUUUUGUCAUUUCGAUAGUAGCCAUUCUAAGCAGGGUGUGGUAAUAUCUCAUUUUGGUUUUGAUUUGCAUUUCCCUGACGAUUAUUGGUGUUGAGCAUUUUUUCAUAUGCCUAAUGGCCAUUUGUAUUUUUUUCUUUUUUGAGAAAUGCCUAUUCACAUCUUUUGCCCAGUUAAAAAAAAUCAGGUUUUUUUGUUUUUUUUUUUUUUUUUUUUGCUAUUGAGUUGUUUGGGUUUAUAUAUAUAUAUAUAUAGUCUCAUUAUAAUCCCUUGUCAGAUGCAUAGUUUACAAAUAUUUCCUCCAAUUACGUAGGUUACCUCUUCACUCUGUUGAUUGUUUCCUUCGCAGUACAAAAUAUUUUUACUUAUACAAUCUCACUUGUCUGUUUUUGUUUUGUUGCCUCUGCUUUGGGGGCCUUAUCUGAAAAAUUCUUGCCCAGACUAAUGUCAUGAAGUAUUUCCCCUAUGUUUUCUUCUAAUAGUUUCAUAAUUCCAGGUUUUACCUUUAACUUUUUAAUCUAGUUGAGUUGAUUUUUAUUUUGUAUGUAACUAUCCAGAUUUCCAACCGUUUAUUGAAAAGGCUGUCUUUCCUUCAUUGUGUGUUUUUGGCAACUUUGUCAAAAAUCAGUUUUAACUGCCUAAAUUUAUUUCUGUGUUCUCAUUUCUGUGCCAUUUGUCCAUGUGUCUAUUUUUAUGGUAGUACAAUUUUAUUUUGGUUAUUAUAGCUUGUCGUUUAUUCUGAAGUCAGGUAGUGUGAUGUCUCCAGCUUUGUUAUUUUGCUCAAGGUUGCUUUGGCUAUUUGAGCUAUUGUUGCUCUAUACGAAAUUUGUGACAGUUUUUCUGUUUCUAUGAAGUAUGUCAUUUGUAUUUUGAUAGGGAUUACACUGAAUAUGUAGGACACUUUGGUUAGGAUGGACAUUUUACCAAUAUUCAUUCUUCCAAUAUAUUAUCACAAAAUAUCCUUCCAUUUAAUUGUCUCUUAUUUAUUUUCUUUCACCAGUGUUUUCUAGUUUUCAGAGUAGAAGUUUUUCACCUCCUUGGUGAAAUUUUGUUCUAAGUAUUUUAUUUUUGGAAGGUAUUGUAAGUGUGAUAGUUUUCUUUAUUUCUUUUUUUCACAUAGUUUGCUAUUACUGUAUAGAAAUGCUACUGACUUUUGUAUGUUGAUUUUGUAUUUUGCAACUUUACUAAAUUUUGUAUUAGAGCUAACAAAUUUUUAGUGGAGUUAGUUUUUUCUAUAUAAGAAAACAUAUUGUCUGCAAACAUGAACAAUUUAAUUUCUUCCUUCUCCAACUUAGAUGGCUUUAUUUCUGUCUGUUGCCUAAUUGCUCUGGUUAUGACUUCCAAUACUAUAUUGAACAGAAGUGAUGAAAGUAAAUAUUCUUGUCUUGUUCCAGAUCUUAGAAGAAAAACUUUUAACAUUUUCUCAUGCAGUAUAAUAAUUAGCUGUGGACUUGUCAUAUAUGGCCUUUAAUGUGUUGAAGUAUAUUUCUUUUAUAUCUAAUUGUUAAGAGUGUUUAUCAUGAAGGAAUGUCAUCAGAUUCUUUUAUGCAUUUAUUGAAAUAAUCAUGUGAUUUUUGUCCUUUGUUCUCUUGAUAUGAUGCAUGAUGUUUAUUUUGUAUGUUGAACCAACCUUGCAUCCCUGAGAUGAAUCUCGCUGCAUUGUGAUGAAUGCUCUUUUUAAUGUGCUGUGGAAUUUUAUUUGCUAGGAUUUUUUUUUAUAAUUUUUGCAUCUAUAUUUAUCAUGAAUAAUGCCAAGUUAUUUUCUGUUUUUGUUUUGUUGUCUGGUUCUGGCAUCAUGGUAACGUUAAUUUUGUAGAAUGAGAGUAGAAGUAUUUUCUUCCCUUCAAGCUUUAGGACAGUUUGAGUAAAACUGGUGUUCCUUAAAUGUAGAAUUCCUUGGUGAAGUCAUCAGGUCCUCAGCUUUUCUUUGAUGGGAGAAUUUUUAUUAUUGAUUCAAUCUUAUUACUCAUUAUUGAUGUGUUCAUAUUUUUAUUUUCUUCAUGCUGUAUUCUUCUUUGGUUCUAUGUGUCCAGGAAUUCAUCCAUUUUUUCCAGGUUAUCCAAUUUAGUGGCACAUAAUUGUUCCUAAUAGUAUCUUAUGAUCCUUGCAUCUCUGUCAUAUCAGUUGUAAUGGCUUUUCUUUUUCAUCUAUGAUUUAUUUAUUGGAGUCUUUUUUUCUCAUUUAGUGUGACCAAAGUUGUUAAUUUUGUGUAUCUUUUCAAAAAGCCAGCUCUUCAUUUUGUUGAACUUUUGUAUUACUUUUCAGUCUCUAUUUCAUUUAUUUUUGUUUUGAUCUUUAUUAUUUCCUUCAAUUUUUGAUUUUUGAUAUACUUUAUUUUUCUUGUUUCUUGAGGUACAAUAUUAGGUUGUUUAUUUCAGAUCUCUGUUCUAUUUUGAUGCAGGCCUUAUUGCAGUAAACUUCCCUCUCAGAAUUGCUUUUGCUGUAUCACAUAGGUUUCGGUAUGUUGUAUUUUUAUUUACAUUUGUCUCAAAAAAUUUUUUAAUUUCCCUUUUAAUUUCUUCUUUGGCUCAUUAGCUGUUAAGGAAAAUGUUGAAUUUCCAUGUAUUUGUAAAAUUUCUGAACUUUCUCCUGUCAUUGAUUUCUAGUUUUAUACUAUUGUGGUCAGAAAAGAUAUUUGAUAUAGUUCUUAUUCUCUUAAAUUUGUUAAGACUUGUUUUGUAGCCCAGCAUGCAAUCUACCCUGAAGAAUCUUCCUGGUGCAAUUGAAAAGAAUGUAUAUUCUGCAGUUCUUGAAUAGAAUGUUCUGUAAAUAUCUGUUAGGUCUAUUUAGUGUAGAGUGCAGUUUAAAUAUGUUACUUUGUUGAUUUUUGGUUUUGAUAAUCUGUUCAUUAAUGUAUGAGUAGUGUUGAAGCUCCCUAAUGUUAUUGUAUUACACUUAUUUUUUCCUUUUAUAUCUAUUAAUAUUUGCUCUAUAUAUUUAGGUCUUCCAAUGUUAGUACUAUAUAUUUAAGACCAUUAUAUCCCCUUUCUAAAUCAUCCCGUUAUCAUUGUGUAAUGACCCUUGUCUCUUUUUAUCCUUUUAUUAUGCAAAGUUUAUUUUAACUGAUGAGAGUAUAGCUACUCUUGCUCAUUUUUUGUUUCCAUUGGUAUGGGGAGUCUUUUUCUAUCCCUUUAUGUUCAGUCUAUGUGUGCCCUUAAUAUUGACGUAGGUGUUUUGUUGGCAGCACAUAGUUGGUUCUUGUUUUUUUUUUUUAAUCCAUUCAACUAUCCUAUGUCUUUUAAUUGGAGAAUUUAAUCCAUUUACAUUAAAGGUGUUUAUUUAUACAUAAAAACUUUUUACUGCCAUUUUGUUAAUUGUUUUCUGUUGUUUUGUUAAUCCUUUUUUUUUUUUUUUUUGAGAUGGAGUCUCACUCUUUCACCAGGCUCGAGUGCAGUGGUGCAAUCUCAGCUCACUGCAACCUCCACCUCCCAGGUUCAAGCAAUUCUCCUGUCUCAGCCUCCUGAGUAGCUGGGACUACAGGCGUGUGCCACCACACCCAACUAAUUUUUGUAUUUUUAGUAGAGACAGGGUUUCACCAUGUUGGCCAGGGUGGUCUUGAUCGGUUGACCUCGUGAUCUGUCCGCCUCGGUGUGAAUGCUUUCUACCUUUUUUUCUCUCUUGCUGCCUUUAUUUGUGGCUAAAUAAUUUUCUAUAGUUAUAUGUUUUGAUUCCUUGCUUUUUAUAUUUUGUGUACCUAUUUUAAAUUUUUGCUUUGUGCAUACCAUGAAACUUAUGAAAAACAUUUUAUAGACAUAACAAGUUUUUUUAAGCUAUUAGAAGCAACUUAUUACAAUUAAAAAAGACUUUACAUUUUAAUUAUACCAUCCCCAUUUUGGAUUUUUGAUGUCGCAAUUUACAUAUUUUUGUAUUGUAUAUAUCUUUAGAAUUAUUGGUAAUUAUUAUUAUUUUAAUAGUUUUGCUUUUUAACCUUCAUACUACAAAUGUAAGUAAUUUACAAGACUUCAUUAUACAACUAGAGUAUAUUAAAUUUGUAUAUUUUAUCUAUGAGUUUCACUUUCAAAUGUUUUCAUGAUACUCACUAGUGUCCUUUCCUUUCAGCUUUAAGAACGCCUUUUAGCAUUUUUUGUAAGAUAUAUGGUGGUGAGGAACUCCCUCAGCUUUUGUGUGUGAGAAAAAUCAUUAUCUCUCUUUCAUUUUUGAUGGACAGAUCUGCCAGAUGUAGUAUUUUUGGUUGACAGGUUUUUUUAUGUUUGGUUAUUUUUUCUUUUUUUUUUGGCUUCUACCUUCAACACUUUAUAUAUAUUAUCACACUCUCUCCUGGUUUGUGGGGUUUCUGCUAAGAAGUUCACUCAUACUUUACACUCCUUUGCAUGUGAUGUGUUUCUUAUCUCUUGCUAUUUUCAGAAUUUUUUUCUUCAUUUAUUAUUUUUGAUAGUUUGGUCAUUAUAUGUCUUGGUGUAAUACUCUUUGGGUUGAAUUUUAUUAGAAACCUCUGUGCUUCUUGUACUUGGAUGUUGGCAUCUAUCCCUAGAUCAGGGUAGUUUUCAACCAUCAUCUCUUUAAAUAUUCUUUCUUACCCUUUUUCUUUUUCUUCUCCUUCUACAACACCUGUUAUGCAAAGGUUUGGUCUCUUGAUAUUAUCCCAUACAUUUUUGUAGGUGUUCUUCAUUUAAAAAAAAUUAUUUUGUCUUUUUUCUCCUCUAUUAUUUUUACUUUUUAUUUUUUUUUAAUUUUUAGAUCCAGAGGUACAGAUGACUAGAUAAUUUUAAAUGCUCUGUCACCUAGCUUAUUAAUUCUUUUGAUUCUGUUGUUAAAGGUUUCUAUUUUUUUUCAGUUUAGUCAUUGUAUUUCUCAUCUCUAAGACUUAUUUCUAAUUGUUAUUUUUUCUAUUUAUUUGGUGAUUUCAUUUUUGUGUAUUGUUUUCCAG
rnacentral:lncRNA from 1 species